AGCGCAGGCGGGAAACUAAGCGGAUCUUAAAAGUGCGGGGCUCAACCCCGUGAUGGGGUCCGAACUGGUUUUCUUGAGUGCAGGAGAGGAAAGCGGAAUUCCCAGUGUAGCGGUGAAAUGCGUAGAUAUUGGGAAGAACACCAGUGGCGAAGGCGACUUACUGGACGAUAACUGACGUUGAGGCUCGAAAGCGUGGGGAGCAAACA
rnacentral:rRNA from 1 species